rnacentral:misc_RNA from 1 species
GAUGAAGAACGCAGCGAAAUGCGAUAAGUAAUGUGAAUUGCAGAAUUCAGUGAAUCAUCGAAUCUUUGAACGCACAUUGCGCCCGCCAGUAUUCUGGCGGGCAUGCCUGUUCGAGCGUCAUUUCAACCAUCAAGCCCCCGGGCUUGUGUUGGGGACCUGCGGCUGCCGCAGGCCCUGAAAACCAGUGGCGGGCUCGCUAGUCACUCCGAGCGUAGUAGUUACAUCUCGCUCAGGGCGUGCUGCGGGUUCCGGCCGUUAAAAGCCUUUUACCCCAAGGUUGACCUCGGAUCAGGUAGGAAGACCCGCUGAACUUAAGCAUAUCAAUAAGCGGAGG